AGAGUUUGAUCCUGGCUCAGAUUGAACGCUGGCGGCAGGCUUAACACAUGCAAGUCGAGCGGGGAAGGGUAGCUUGCUACCUAACCUAGCGGCGGACGGGUGAGUAAUGCUUAGGAAUCUGCCUAUUAGUGGGGGACAACAUUCCGAAAGGAAUGCUAAUACCGCAUACGCCCUACGGGGGAAAGCAGGGGAUCUUCGGACCUUGCGCUAAUAGAUGAGCCUAAGUCAGAUUAGCUAGUUGGUGGGGUAAAGGCCUACCAAGGCGACGAUCUGUAGCGGGUCUGAGAGGAUGAUCCGCCACACUGGGACUGAGACACGGCCCAGACUCCUACGGGAGGCAGCAGUGGGGAAUAUUGGACAAUGGGCGAAAGCCUGAUCCAGCCAUGCCGCGUGUGUGAAGAAGGCCUUUUAGUUGUAAAGCACUUUAAGCGAGGAGGAGGCUACUUAGAUUAAUACUCUAGGAUAGUGGACGUACUCGCAGAAUAAGCACCGGC
rnacentral:rRNA from 1 species